ACCAAGUCAAGGGGAUCGUAAGUUUGACGAUUAACAAGCUAGGUGAAAGCUUGGGAACGAAGCGGGUCAAACGAAGCAAGAAUGACGGAAAAGCAUAAUUUGGAAGUAAGGUGAUCGCCAAGAGUGCCCGGAUGAAGAUCAAGCUCGAAGAAGAACCGAACACACGAGAUUAAAGCUUCCGCACAGCGUAACGUCGUAACUUUUAAACGACGAACUUAUU